GGACACCUCUUUUCUUUCUUUAUGCCUGAAUCCCCACCACCUCACCUUUGGGUUUGACUGAAAGAGCAAGGAUUCUGUUUUUUUUUAAAUGCAUUUUUUGUAUGUGUGUGAGGAAGAUUGGCCCUGAGCUAAUAUCUGUUGCCAAUCUUCCUCUUUCAAUUUCCUCCCCAAAGCCCCAGUACAUAGUUGUACAUCCUCGUUGUAGGUCAUUCUUUUUCCUCUAUGUGGGACGCUGCCUCAGCAUGGCUUGAUGAAUGGUGUGUAUCUGGACCGGUGAACCCCGAGCAGCCAAAGCAGAGCGUGGGAACUUAACCAUUCGGCCAUAGGACUGGCCUCAAGGAUUGUACUUUUGAGGCUGCUGUUUUCUAGCAGGAUGGAGGAGCUAACCCUUCCCCAUUCUGGAAGCUGGGAUAGAGGACGGGGUGGCAGACACCAUUUCUCUCCACCCUCCGACCCCAUGUAAGUGCUGCCAAGCUUUCCCCAUUCCUCCCAAAGCCCGUGGCAGACAUCACCAAGUGAUCACAGCACUCCAGUCGACCCCACGUCUUUCUCAGCACUGAUCAGGCCUGCCACGGAAGAGGAUGCUAUCUGCCAGGCUGGGGUGAAGCUAUGACAGGACAGGUGUCCAGCCUAAGGAGCUAACAAAUGAGGGAUCUGUAAACAUGCCUUGGUCAUUCGUAAAUUCUUAUUCAGUGGCGAGAUGCGGUUUAUAUGUCAGACAAGCGAGAUGCUCCUGAGAGCUCUGAGCACUGCGACAGGAGAGAGGUCUGGAUUGCACAGCAGGAGAAAUUCAACGGGGAACCAAACACAAAGCGGUUACUAAAGAGACUUCAAAUAGCCGAAGGGGCCACUUGGCCUCCUUGCUCCUUCUAGACUUGGAAGCAGGCCACUGCUCUGCCACAGGGAAGGCCAGGCCUAGGCGGACACGAGAGGCCUUGGGUGUUACCGACUUAUCGUUUCUGUAGGACUCAUGGCAGCUGUUUCUCUGCACCGGUUUCCUCCAUGCCGGAAUUAUUCCUUGCAAGCCAUCCAGUAAGGGAAGAUUUACUGUGUUCAUGCAGAGAGCCAGAGUGCAUAAACGACAGGGGGACAGCAGAGCCACCUCCAUGGAUAGCAGGGUCAGGCAUCCUCCUGGAGAACAGACAUCUGUGGAGGCCGAGUCGGCUGCGGUAACGUCCUGCGGUCCAGGCCUUAUGGUCCCUCUUCCGAGGACCACGGAGCCAUGUCUGUGGGAGUGGCAGUGUCUCCCCCACCCAGGCUGGAGAUUUCAGAAUGGGCUGUGGGUUGAUUGGGAAAGUGGGGGUGGGGAGAGAUGCUCAAGGCACAGAGUCUUUGUGGGCAAAGAAUUUUACUCAGCAAACAGUGUGAUCACUGCCCUGGGCAGGGCAUCUUCAUUUGGGGAUGGGCAUGAAAUGCUAAUGGCCAAACCCCCACCCCACCCCCACCCACUCCAGGCCUAGCACCGCAGUGGGCCGAAGACGGGCAGGAGGGAAGCAGUGUGCAAAGAGAGGGCCUGGAUGGGUGGGGGUCCCAAAAGGACCUAAGCAGCAGGAGACCCCCCCGAAAGGUGGGCCACAGGCCCAUCAGCCACCCCCCACCCCACCCCCCGCAAAGUGAGUCCAGAGGCGACGCCAAGGCAGUUCCUCCUCUGGCUACCAGGCUGGCCUCCCGAGUCCCGAGCGAGGACUAGAAGCAGUCUGCAAAGCAGAUGGCAGGGCCCUGGGGCAGGGGCUGCGAUGCCGGCUGUGCAUCCUGAUGUAUGAGUCACGUAUGCCCUUCGAGUCUCAGAGCGUUCAGGGGCUGAAACUUCAUCCUCAGCCCCGUGUGGCCUGCUGCCCUCCUCCUGGGCCCAUCCAUUCCUUCAGCUCCAGCGCCUCCUCCACACAUCCACGGCUCGGCCUUGCCCCGGGCAGCACAGUCGCGCCCCGCAGAGCCCAAAGAGCAGGGAAGCUGACAGGAAAGAAGAGCAGUCAGGUCAGGGUGGACCCCAGGUGCCGAGCACCCACCACGAGCAGUCCUACACCAGCGCUCCCCACCCACAUCGGAACACACACAGAAACUAGUGUUUGCACAACACGCUGCAAUCCACGGAGAACGCUGCUUCCUCCCAGCCCCCCAGGCCUGUAGGUCCGCCUUCGCCCAGGCUCUAGGCUAAUCCCCCACUGUCCCCACUGCCCUGUGAGGGGAGUUAACAGGAGGCUCAAAGGGUGUCACCCGGACUCUACUGUUAAGGUGGAGAAGCCGCAGGGUAGGGAGCAGCAGGGAGCGUGGGAGGUGGUAGUGGGGGCACGGGGGGUGUAGGUUUUCAGAGGAGAAAACAGAACCAGAGUGGUAUAAACCCUUCCUCAGCCCGGCUCCUAAUUCUCACAGGGAGGCAGUGGCAUCUGGGGAACAGGGCACAGGGCUGGCAGCCAGGGCUUCUAGGCUAUUCCUGGUCCCUGCCCUGGGCCUUCCUGACCACAAAUCCGCCCUCACCCACUGCCCCACUGCUCAAAGAGGAUCAAGACUUCCAAAUAACAAGCCAUGACCCCAAACCUGCACCCACCCACCCACCCUGCCCCCG
ensembl:lncRNA